rnacentral:rRNA from 1 species
ACAAGGUUUCCGUAGGUGAACCUGCGGAAGGAUCAUUAAUGAAACUUGAAGUCUUUUGACCCGCGGCCGAGUCGCGGGGAGAUAGACCGUUCCACACACCCGUGCACCCAGCGGACGUUUCGGCGUCCGCUCCCUCGAUCACACACGCGCCUGUAGUGAAGCAUGUCUUUUGAGCUCUACGGAGCGAACUAAUACAACUUUCAACAACGGAUCUCUUGGCUUUCGCAUCGAUGAAGAACGCCGCGAAAGUGCGAAACGUAAUGUGAAUUGCAGAAUUCAGUGAAUCAUCGAAUCUUUGAACGCAUCUUGCGCUCCUCGGCAUUCCGAGGAGCAUGCCUGUUUGAGUGUCGUGAAGUCUCUCGGCUCCCAGCCUUCGCUGCGCUUGGGAGUUGGAUUUGGACGCUGUCGUCCCCUUUGGGGGGACGGCUCGUCUCGAAACGCAUUAGCCGUCCCAUUGCACAGACAACGGUGUGAUAAGAAACUCGCCCGCGUCGGUGGUAGGGUGGGUCGGCUCACAGUCGUCUUUGGACAAACUUUCAACCUCUGACCUCAAAUCAGGUAGGACUACCCGCUGAAC